rnacentral:rRNA from 1 species
AUACGGAGGGUGCAAGCGUUGUUCGGAAUCACUGGGCGUAAAGGGCGCGCAGGCGGUUUGGUAAGUCAGAUGUGAAAGCCCAUGGCUCAACCAUGGAAGUGCAUUUGAAACUGUCAGACUUGAGUACUAGAGGGGAAAGUGGAAUUCCCGGUGUAGAGGUGAAAUUCGUAGAUAUCGGGAGGAAUACCGGUGGCGAAGGCGACUUUCUGGCUAGAUACUGACGCUGAGGCGCGAAAGCGUGGGGAGCAAACAGGAUUAGAUACCCCAGUAGUCC